AAAGACUCGAUUCACACUGAGAUGAAUCAAACGCCUCACCGUUACGUAGCAUAAGCAGAUACAGAUAGAAUGACUCAUGGACUGAACCAGCAGCACCAGCACAGACACAGACAACACCGACGCAUCCUACUGAAGUAUUAACUGGAGCGACAAAGCUGCAAAGCCUUGACCAUUAGGGAAACGUCCAGCCUUAAACAGGCACUGCUAUGUUGAAACGC